UCUCAACAGCUUGGUUUUGAUGGUCGUUGUAAAGGUCGGGAGCCUGUUUCAGCUAUUACAAAAAGUGGUGUGCCUGUGAACUUACAAUAUAAACAGAGUUCUUACAUUGUAAUUUUUUUUCUGUUUUCCUAACUGCGUUUAAAAUGUCGAUGGUUCAAUCAACCUUUUCCGUUUUCUAGGUGGAGCAGUAUUAUCAACGAGCUUUGGAAAUUUACACCACCAAACUCGGACCUGACGAUCCUAACGUGGCCAAGACAAAAAAUAACUUGGCCUCGGCGUAUUUGAAACAAGGUAAAUACAAGGCUGCGGAAACUCUUUACAAACAGGCAAGGAUUUUCUCAAUUGUCUUCCAAUUAUAUUUAGUUUACUAAUGAAGCAUUGUUCAAAACCUUCCGCGAGCGUCAUACAGGGUUUGCACUACUCCUGGAAUUCAUGGAAAACUCCUGGGUUUUUUAAUUUGUUUUUUCAUUCAGCGCCCUUUGAAACUCCUUGAAGUUUUAUUUUUGGCACCAACUCUUGGAAAAUUCCUUGAAUUUAUCUAUUUGUAGGAUU